AGUCGAGGGGUAGAAAGAGCUUGCUUUUUUGAGACCGGCGCACGGGUGAGUAACGCGUAUGCAACCUACCUUAUACAGGGGAAUAGCCCGAAGAAAUUCGGAUUAAUGCUCCAUGGUUUAUCGAUAUGGCAUCGUAUUGAUAAUAAAGAUUUAUCGGUAUAAGAUGGGCAUGCGUAUCAUUAGCUAGUUGGUGUGGUAACGGCAUACCAAGGCAACGAUGAUUAGGGGUCCUGAGAGGGAGAUCCCCCACACUGGUACUGAGACACGGACCAGACUCCUACGGGAGGCAGCAGUGAGGAAUAUUGGUCAAUGGAGGCAACUCUGAACCAGCCAUGCCGCGUGCAGGAUGACGGUCCUAUGGAUUGUAAACUGCUUUUGUACAGGAAGAAACCUCCCUACGAGUAGGGACUUGACGGUACUGUAAGAAUAAGGAUCGGCUAACUCCGUGCCAGCAGCCGCGGUAAUACGGAGGAUCCGAGCGUUAUCCGGAAUUAUUGGGUUUAAAGGGUUCGUAGGCGGCUUUGUAAGUCAGUGGUGAAAUUUCCUAGCUUAACUAGGACACGGCCAUUGAUACUGCAGAGCUUGAAUAAUAUGGAAGUAACUAGAAUAUGUAGUGUAGCGGUGAAAUGCUUAGAUAUUACAUGGAAUACCAAUUGCGAAGGCAGGUUACUACGUAUUUAUUGACGCUGAUGAACGAAAGCGUGGGGAGCGAACAGGAUUAGAUACCCUGGUAGUCCACGCCGUAAACGAUGGAUACUAGCUGUUCGGUUUUCGGACUGAGUGGCUAAGCGAAAGUGAUAAGUAUCCCACCUGGGGAGUACGUUCGCAAGAAUGAAACUCAAAGGAAUUGACGGGGGCCCGCACAAGCGGUGGAGCAUGUGGUUUAAUUCGAUGAUACGCGAGGAACCUUACCAGGGCUUAAAUGUAGAUUGACAGAUUUGGAAACAGAUUUUUCUUCGGACAAUUUACAAGGUGCUGCAUGGUUGUCGUCAGCUCGUGCCGUGAGGUGUCAGGUUAAGUCCUAUAACGAGCGCAACCCCUAUUGUUAGUUACCAGCGCGUAGUGGCGGGGACUCUAGCAAGACUGCCGGUGCAAACCGUGAGGAAGGUGGGGAUGACGUCAAAUCAUCACGGCCCUUACGUCCUGGGCUACACACGUGCUACAAUGGCAAGUACAGAAAGCAGCUACCUGGCAACAGGAUGCGAAUCUCCAAAGCUUGUCUCAGUUCGGAUUGGAGUCUGCAACUCGACUCUAUGAAGCUGGAAUCGCUAGUAAUCGG
rnacentral:rRNA from 1 species